rnacentral:rRNA from 1 species
GGGGGGCUCGACCCCUUCAGUGACGACGCUAACGCAUUAAGUAUCCCGCCUGGGGAGUACGGUCACAAGAUUAAAACUCAAAGGAAUAGACGGGGACCCACACAAGUGGUGGAGCACCUGGCUUAAUUCGAUAAUGAGCGAGGAACCUCACCUGGACUUGACAUCCCGAGAAUUUUCUAGAAAUAGAAAAGUGCCUUAUGGAACUCGGUGACAGGUGCUGCAUGGUUGUCGUCAGCUCGUGCCUUGAGGUGUUCGGUUAAGUCCGUAAACGAGCGCAACCCAUGUCUUGUGUUGCAUUUUUCACAGGAGACUGCCGAUUCCAAGUCGGAGGAAGGUAUGGAUGACGUCAAAUCAGCAUGGCCCUUAUGUCCAGGGCUGCACAGGUGCUACAAUGGUCGGUACAAUGGGUAGCAAUACUGCAAAGUGGAGCCAAUCCCAAAAACCGGUCUAAGUUCGAAUUGAGGGCUGCAACUCGCCCUCAUGAAGUUGGAAUCGCUAGUAAACGCGGAUCAGCAAUGGCGCGUUGAAUACGUUCCUGGGUCUUGUACUCACCGCCCGUCACACUACGGAAGGUGGAGGCGCCCGAAGUACCCUUAGCUUUUAGCGGGGUCCUAAGGUGAAAUCACUGACUGGAGUGAAGUCGUAACAAGGUACCGA